AAAGCACCCAGUACUAACGACUCAGCGGGUCCCACUCGCCAAGAGUCGAUUUUCGUCCUCACCACAGACUUGGGAGGGAGGUCUUAUUUUGCUAAUGAGAAAACGGAGGCUCAGAGGGGUGAGCCGAUUUGCCCGAGGUCACACAGGAAGAGGCGGAAUUCCUAGCGGGUGUGGGCGUGCACCCGUUGCUCAGGUUCCCAGAACGCUGGGCCGUUUGUUAGAUGCUCUUUUCCUGCAGAUAAAGAAAUGGAGGCCCAGGGAGCUGAAGUUCUUUCCCAGCAUUUGCUGCCAGGAGUCUCUCCACCAUGAGGAAUGAGGCCAAGGUUAAGUCCAUCUAACUCUAGAAACUGGCCUUCUGGCACCCCGGGCUGAGUUUUCUCACCCUACCCUUGCACCUCACUCAGGCAGUCAGUCCUUGGGAGAGUGAAUGAACACGCAGGAGACCUCACCUACCACCAGGGUCCUGGUCCAGUGCCCUGGGCACCUAACAGCACCAGCCUCCUCCAGGCUUUUCUGGCCCCUGCGACUCCUCCUAGUACCCGCAACACAGUGACCAGACCACUUCCCUGCUCAAAGUUCUUCCACACAUCACCAAUGCUGACAGAUCAGUGCGAACUGCCGAGACGAGCUGGUUAACUUGUUCACACUACAUCGUGUUGGACUGACAAGGCUCCCAGGGCUCAGCACCUUUGAAGGUGUGCACGUCAUCACCCUAAAGUCAAACCA
rnacentral:lncRNA from 10 species